rnacentral:ncRNA from 1 species
UUUCCAUCAGAAUGACUAGAAUACGGAAUAAAGCUGUUAUGUUCGUAAAGUGGAUGGUAGAGAGGAAUUGUAGGACGAAACGUCUUCACCUAUUCUCAAAAUUUCAGUGAGUAUGUCGUCUUGCUUGCUUGAAUGAAGCAUAAACAUUGAAUGUGUGCUCCAAGUGGGCCACUUUUGGUAAGCAGAACUGGCGCUGUGGAAUGAGCCA